AAACCCUGUAACAAAAUCUCAUUUGUGGCAGCUCCCAGCUGUGGGGCAUGAGGAAUUGAAGAGGUGAAGGAUGGAAUGGAGGAAAAAGUGUUAUUUUCAGACCCAUCAGAAUAUUGCCAAGUUUUCUGGUGACAUAAAAUACGGAAAGAAGUAGAAGAAUCACUUGAAUCUGAAGACCUUGGUGAAUUUGUUUUCAUAGUAAUAGUAAAGUAAUAAUAGUUUUCAUUUUAAACACAUUUAAAUUAAGCAGUUGGACUUCUAAGUAUAAAUUUUGCAAUGAGUUUGUUGUUAGUUUCUUAAAAUUUCCCCUGGUACAUUGUCAUGCAACUAAUAGAGUAAUUAUAGAUUUUUCCUACAGUGAAUGCUGUGUUAUCCAUUGCAAAAUAUUGUGCUAUUGCAGUAUGAAAUAUGACUAGAAAAUUACUUUUUCUGCAAAAUUAAGCUUACAUCUUAAAAUUUCAGCAGGGGGCAACUGUUUUAUAAAUAAGCUGUAGCCAGUUUUUAAUAUUUAGUUCUCACUGCAAUAAUGGCAUGAAUCUAACUGACAAAACAUUGACUCCCUGCUGCCAUCAUGUAUUCUUACUUCAGCUUCCCUGACAGAAGCAGCACAGGGGAUUGACAUUUCAUAAGGGAUAAAAAGAGUUGAAUGUUCACAAGCUAGUACUGAUUUGAAUAGUUUCUAAUUUACUAUCCUUCGUCCUAAGACUCUCAGAAAGAUGCAAGCAAAAAUGUACCUGAAGUUAGACCAAUUGAGUUUAAUUUCUAAUUAUAAUAUUCUCUCAACAUGCACAUGUGCACAGUGGACCAUUUGAACCUUGUAUAAAAUAAAUUUCAUACAACAAUUAACUAAUUAAAUAUGAAAUGAAGUAAUGGAUGAGACUAGAAUUGGGUUUUCCUGCUACUUGUUGAAUACUUUACCAGUAUGCCAUACUGCAACAAAGAAGUUUCAAAUAGACUCCUUAAAGUUCGUAGGGACUCAGUACAAAAUAUGACCUGGUCCUUCAGCCUCUCAUAAUUAAUUCAGACUUGGUCUUUCAAAGAUCGUAGAGUGAAUAUAACAUUGUCGGCCUGUGAUAGUUUCUACGUGAAGAGGAGGAUGCACACAAACCCUCUAGCAUUUUUUUAAGGAAUAGCGUUGCAUGUGUUUGUAGCGACUAGUGGCUUGUGUUCAUGUAGUCUAUUUGCCUUAAAAGCUGAAUAAGGCUCUUGGCAGGUCAACAUUGGCCAAAUGGGCUUCCCCAGACCGUGAAUGUGCAGAAUUUCACUGAAGACAGCAUUCUGCUGCUAUAUUGGUGAUCCAUUCUGGUCACAGCAGCUUCCACAUUGCACAAAGUGUCUCUCCAGGGACACUGCCACACACUGGCUUCCGUAAGCGAAAAGUUGAGAAGAAAUCAGCUGUUUUCAUGUUUGCCACAGGAUGUACUCCGUGCAGCAUGAAGGGCUGAUAAUUUGGUCUUCAAUUUCUUUUUUUAUUAUUUCAAAAUUACUGAUGAACAAGUUACCCCAGCUGAACCUGAGCUGCAAAGACUUUCUUUAGUCAAAACAAGCAGACUUUCCCUUGUACAGUAGUUGUUCAUUUUUACUCCAACAUUGAUGAAUGAGUGACAGGUAUUAUAGGUCUAUUUUUUACAUUGCACAGGAUGAUUCUGGCACUGGGCACUUCAGUUUCUGCCAUUAAAUAAUGUGCACAGAAAUAUUUUGAAUCUCAAAUGAAAUCACAGAAGAGAGUAGUGAUACAUUAGGUAUGUGGCCUACCUGAAGGCUCCUCAGCUCAGAAAUAAGCACAGUUAUUCAGCCUUUCUGUCUUGGGGACCAUCUACCCCAUGGCUAUUUGACCUGUGUUGCAAAACAGGAAUUAAAACAGCUGCCUGGGCAAAACCUCCUUUGAGAGCCAAAGAUUAACUGCAAUAUCAGUGAGUGAAAAUUGCAUUUAUAAGACUGAAAUUUGGAAAUCUUGGAUGGGUUAACUGUUUUAUUUCAAACAAGGCAGAUUUCUCUAACAAAACUGUGACCUCGUACUAUUUGCUAUUUACAUGAUCUGUACCAUUGACCUUUCAUUUCAAUAUAAAUAGCACUCAAACCUGCAAUACAAUCAGAAAUCAGUUUAUGAGGUAGAAAAUCUCUUUAAAUGAUAACUAGAGGGCAGGUUAUAGUUCAUCAGGGUUUAUAGUACUACCUGGAAGCUGGCUACUGAGAGAAAUUAGGUAGAUAAAACAUAUCAUUGCAAGCUAUAGGAUCAUUGCAUAACAGCGAGAAAACAGUGUCUUAAUGCAUAUCUGUUUGCAAAAGUGAAGACAGACAAAACCCCCCGGUAUCAUAUUUCUAGAGUCACUUUAAAUGAAUAGUGAAACUGGCAUGAACCCUUAUUCAGAAGUUGGAGAAUAAAAUUUGCACAUCCUUGCCUAGAUGUUCUUAGCAUGCUGAAUUUCCUCCCUACACCCAAUGCUUUGAAUGGAUGACCAAAGAAUCUUUGUUACAUAAAACAGGAUGGAGCAACUAGAAAAAUGGAACCGUACUGUAAAAUUUACAGAUUGCUUUGUAAAUCUGAGACUUUCAACAGCCUCUGUAGCUGUCUCAGAGAAUGUAUAAAAAGCAGGAAGUUUGCCUUUUUGCUCCAUUUGCAGUGGUGCAACCAAAGCACUACAUUGGUUUAUUCAGACCAAAGUACAAGUACUGAUAUCUUCAAUUCAUGCUUGAAAGAAUUUCUCUGAGUUUUCUUAUUUAUGCUAAUAAAUACUUUCAGUGAGGUGUUAACAAAAGGUGAAGUAGAAAAGUUACUGUCUCUAGUAAAUAAGAGAUAUAGAUAAAUAUCCCAUUUUCCACCCUCAAAGUGAAGGGUUGGCUGGUGGUGAAUUCUGAAGAAUUUUCACGUGCUAUAGAAUCAUAUUCUUUCUUAAUCCUUGAUUUUUGUAUCUAGAGCAUGAAUUACUUCUGGUUUCUGAACCUGUCUUUUGAAGGUAUGUUGUAGGUUUCCCUUGUAGAUCAGGAUGCAGAUAACAGGGAUAGAAAAAUAAUUUGUGCAAAUUAAUUCUCCAGCCAGGACUGCAUGUCCUACAUUAAUUGAAAGAGUCAUUUGUGGUUUGCAGCGGUGUUUGAUUUCACCUAUUAUGAGAGACCUUUAGGUGCAGGGCUGCUGCAUGACAUUCAGGGCUGUUGGACCCAUCAGUUUUCAUUGUUCCCGUGAUCAUAGUUCCCCUGACAGGAAAAUUAAAGGUGCAGUCCCUGAGGUUCAUACCAGUAAAUUCUCAGGUUCCUCUGAGAGGAAGGAAGGACUGGUAGAGGGUAAUGACUUUGUCAAUCUCCUUGUGGUAUUUACUUGUCUGACCUUAGUAACUGGAAAAACCUUGAGAUCUGCUGGUAAGUGGCGAAAUUAAAUGUUAUUGACCAGAAUGAGAAGUUAAUAUAACUACAUUUUGGAAGAUAUUAUUGGACUAUAUGUUAUUUUUGCAUUCAGAAAAGUAUAUGACUUUUAAUUAAUUAUUAAAAGCAAUUCAUGUAUUUUUUUUCCCCUCUGCAGUUCCCUCAUAAAGUCUUUAAUCUAUUCUUUACAGUUACAAAUAACUGCUAGUCUUCUGGAAAAUAUUUUUCAUUUAUUUCUAGGAACAUGUACAUAUUAGCCUCUUUCUCUUAAGAUAAAUGUAUGAAUUUCUGCCAAAAUAUUUUAUUUAUAUGUCUUAUCAUGAAAGUUUUUAAUGAGGUUCAGGAAUAAAAUGAAGUAAUCAUACAGCACUGGGAAAUAUUAUAGUGAGUCUAGGAGCAACAGCCAGAGAAAAUUUUUAAUGUGCCAUUAAGUAGUAAACUCACAGCUGCAUGAUAGUGUCUAAGUAACUGUUGAGCAUAAUCAUUUAAAUAUAUGUCCAGAAUAAAAGAAAA